CGUGUAGGCGGUUGGUCAAGUCUGGUGUGAAAGCCCGGGGCUCAGCUCCGGAAGUGCAUCGGAAACUAGCCAACUGGAGCGCGAUAGAGGAGGGUGGAAUUCCUGGUGUAGCGGUGAAAUGCGUAGAUAUCAGGAGGAACACCGGCGGCGAAGGCGGCCCUCUGGAUCGUUGCUGACGCUGAGACGCGAAAGCGUGGGGAGCAAACAGGAUUAGAUACCCUGGUAGUCCACGCUGUAAACUAUGGGUACUAGGUGUUCGGGGUGUUGACCCCCUGAGUGCCGCAGCUAACGCAUUAAGUACCCCGCCUGGGGACUACGGCCGCAGGUUAAA
rnacentral:rRNA from 1 species